UUGUAUUUGAUGUGUUCUUUGAUUAGCAUU
rnacentral:piRNA from 1 species